rnacentral:rRNA from 1 species
ACACAUGCAAGUCGAGCGGAAAGGCUCCUUCGGGGGUACUCGCGCGGCGAACGGGUGAGUAACACGUGAGUAAUCUGCCCUUGGCUUCGGGAUAGCCACCGGAAACGGUGAUUAAUACCGGAUACGACACAUCACUGCAUGGUGCGUGUGUGGAAAGUUUUUUCGGCCAGGGAUGUGCUCGCGGCCUAUCAGCUUGUUGGUGGGGUAAUGGCCUACCAAGGCUUCGACGGGUAGCCGGCCUGAGAGGGUGACCGGCCACACUGGGACUGAGACACGGCCCAGACUCCUACGGGAGGCAGCAGUGGGGAAUAUUGGACAAUGGGCGGAAGCCUGAUCCAGCAACGCCGCGUGAGGGAUGACGGCCUUCGGGUUGUAAACCUCUUUCAGCACAGACGAAGCGCAAGUGACGGUAUGUGCAGAAGAAGGACCGGCCAACUACGUGCCAGCAGCCGCGGUAAUACGUAGGGUCCGAGCGUUGUCCGGAAUUAUUGGGCGUAAAGGGCUCGUAGGCGGUUUGUCGCGUCGGGAGUGAAAACACCGGGCUUAACUCGGUGCUUGCUUUCGAUACGGGCAGACUAGAGGCAUUCAGGGGAGAACGGAAUUCCUGGUGUAGCCGGUGAAAUGCGCAGAUAUCAGGAGGAACACCGGUGGCGAAGGCGGU